AAUAGAUACCCAGGUAGUCCAUGCCGUAAACGAUGGAUGCUAGCUGUUAUGGGUAUCGACCCCCGUAGUAGCGAAGCUAACGCGUUAAGCAUCCCGCCUGUGGAGUACGGUCGCAAGACUAAAACAUAAAGGAAUUGACGGGGACCCGCACAAGCGGUGGAGCGUGUUGUUUAAUUCGAUGAUAAGCGAAGAACCUUACCCAGGCUUGACAUCCUUGGAAUUUCUCCGAAAGGAGAGAGUGCCUUUGGAACCAAGUGACAGGUGUUGCAUGGCCGUCGUCAGCUCGUGUCGUGAGAUGUUUGGUUAAGUCCAUCAACGAGCGCAACCCUUGUAGUUAGUUGAAUUUUUCUAGCUAGACUGCCCUGGUAACAGGGAGGAAGGAGGGGAUGAUGUCAGGUCAGUAUUACCCUUACGUCUGGGGCUACAAACACGCUACAAUGGCCGGUACAAAGGGCAGCCAAGUCGCGAGACGGAGCAAAUCCCAUCAAAGCCGGUCCCAGUUCGGAUAGCAGGCUGAAACUCGCCUGCUUGAAGUCGGAAUCG
rnacentral:rRNA from 1 species